AGGGUUUGGUUCCCCACCAGCAAGAUGAGGUAAUGAUGUGAAACUGAUCACAUUGUUGAAGAGUUGACAUGAGAGAAUGUGUAUCAGCAUCCAGCUCAGGUCCCUGCCUAUGCUGCUUCCUGCUGUCAAAGUCAAGAUCUCUGCAAGUUACACUUUCAGGAUAAGGACAACAGAGCCUAUUGUUUAUAGUUCCUGGCUGUCUCUGGUGCCUGAGCCGGUGGUGUAUGGACCUGUGGGCCAACUCCUAGAUUCAUGUGUGUUCUAAAUCCACCUCAGUAGUGACGUUGAAGAACAUCUCGGCUAUAUAACUCAGCUAGAUAGCACCUGAAUCCUUUCAUGAAAUGAAAUUUCAUGAAGAAGUUCAAUAUAAAACUUCUGUGUUUGGGGUGGUGCCCCUCCUUUUCUGAUGUGUACCAUGGACACUUAGAUGAUGUGAUGAGGUCAUGUUAGGUUGUACAGUCUCGUGAUUUAGACCCUGUCUUCCAUGUUUAUAGAUGGAGCCUUAUGGUAGUUCCCAGGUUAUGGAGGCUUAUGCUUUCUCUCCUCUAUACUUAGCUUAUUAGCUGGUUAAUAAUGAAUUAGUAGUGAUGUAACCACCCAGCUAUCUGAGAGGUGAAUACCUGUGGUAUCUACCACAAAUACACAUGUAAUCUCCGAACGUUUGUAACUAUAUUGGUGUUCUCAGCGGAGUCUGAAUUGCUCACUGUGUUGGAUGUGUAUCCAGUGCACCAGUUUUCAAACACUCAGAGAUUCUAGUGCCUAGCAAGGACUGAGGAUUUCUGAUCUGGUUGGGGCCUAGUGAGAGCUACAGUUCCCAGAAAGAGCAGGUUAGUUUUGAGUCCAACCCCGGGCAGCGGCAGGUGUAGUCUCUGCUCUACCAGAUUGUAGAAUCCAGGGGAAAUGAAAGCACGCUCUAUCUUGAAGAAGGAUUCUGGUUUUGUGACAUGGAAGUUACAUAUGCUGCUUAUGAUUGUGUUGUUUUUAUGAGACUUUGUAAAUUAGAAAUAAGCUGAGUAAUAAAACUCUAGUGAGACACAAAUACUGUGUGCCCAUGUGAUUGGAUGUACAGAGUUAUGCUUCCGGUGAUCCACCACUGACAUCCUGCUGUGCACUUAAAGUGAUUACUGUGUGUUCUGCAUGCACAGAAAUCAAUAUUCAUACUAUUUAUGUUUCUUGUGGAGAAAGUGUAUUUUAACCAUGGGCAAUCAUAUUUUUAAUGUUUUAAUUUUUAAUGUUUCCAAAGUGACUCAGCUAAAUUAUUCUAAAUUAGGCAGUAAACUUUAAUAUCUUUUCUAGGUAUAAUUUCAAGAGAGUGCUAUUUCUAAAAUGACCCAUUUCUCUC